GACUGUGACGGAGGAGGGGCCGGCCCAGCCCAGCCCGGCUCGGACGGGGACGGGCACGGCCGAGGGUCCGGGGCCACCGGGCGCUCGCCGGGAUGGGGGGACACGAGGACAAUUACUACGGCAAACACGGAACGCCGCAGAAAUACGACCCCACUUUCAAAGGUCCCAUCUAUGACAGGGGCUGCACCGACAUCGUCUGCUGUGUCCUGCUGGUCGUGGCCAUCGUGGGCUACGUGGUGGUCGGGGUCGUGG